rnacentral:rRNA from 1 species
CCAGACUCCUACGGGAGGCAGCAGUGGGGAAUAUUGCACAAUGGGCGCAAGCCUGAUGCAGCCAUGCCGCGUGUAUGAAGAAGGCCUUCGGGUUGUAAAGUACUUUCAGUCGGGAGGAAGGUGUCAAGGUUAAUAACCUUGGCAAUUGACGUUACCGACAGAAGAAGCACCGGCUAACUCCGUGCCAGCAGCCGCGGUAAUACGGAGGGUGCAAGCGUUAAUCGGAAUUACUGGGCGUAAAGCGCACGCAGGCGGUCUGUCAAGUCGGAUGUGAAAUCCCCGGGCUCAACCUGGGAACUGCAUUCGAAACUGGCAGGCUGGAGUCUUGUAGAGGGGGGUAGAAUUCCAGGUGUAGCGGUGAAAUGCGUAGAGAUCUGGAGGAAUACCGGUGGCGAAGGCGGCCCCCUGGACAAAGACUGACGCUCAGGUGCGAAAGCGUGGGGAGCAAACAGGAUUAGAUACCCUCGUAAG